UACAGAGGGUGCGAGCGUUGUUCGGAAUCAUUGGGCGUAAAGCGCUUGUAGGCGGCCUGUCAAGUCGCGUGUGAAAUCCCCUGGCUUAACCAGGGAAGUGCGCGCGAAACUGGCGGGCUUGAGUGCCGGAGAGGGUCGCGGAAUUCCCGGUGUAGAGGUGAAAUUCGUAGAUAUCGGGAGGAACACCCGUGGCGAAGGCGGCUCACUGGCCCGGUACUGACGCUGAGGUGCGAAAGCGUGGGGAGCAAACAGG
rnacentral:rRNA from 1 species